rnacentral:rRNA from 1 species
UUGCCUAGUAACGGCGAGUGAAGCGGCAACAGCUCAAAUUUGAAAUCUGGCCCCCGGGUCCGAGUUGUAAUUUGUAGAGGAUGCUUUUGGUGCGGUACCUUCCGAGUUCCCUGGAACGGGACGCCAUAGAGGGUGAGAGCCCCGUCUGGUUGGACGCCAAUCCUUUGUAAAGCUCCUUCGACGAGUCGAGUAGUUUGGGAAUGCUGCUCUAAAUGGGAGGUAUAUGUCUUCUAAAGCUAAAUAUUGGCCAGAGACCGAUAGCGCACAAGUAGAGUGAUCGAAAGAUGAAAAGCACUUUGAAAAGAGAGUUAAAAAGUACGUGAAAUUGUUGAAAGGGAAGCGCUCAUGACCAGACUUGGGCCCGGUUGAUCAUCCAGGGUUCUCCCUGGUGCACUCUUCCGGCCCAGGCCAGCAUCAGUUCGCUGUGGGGGAUAAAGGCUUCGGGAAUGUGGCUCCUCCGGGAGUGUUAUAGCCCGCUGCGUAAUACCCUGUGGCGGACUGAGGUUCGCGCAUCUGCAAGGAUGCUGGCGUAAUGGUCAUCAGCGACCCGUCUUGAAACACGGACCAAGGAGUCGUCUUCGUAUGCGAGUGUUCGGGUGUUAAACCCCUACGCGGAAUGAAAGUGAACGCAGGUGAGAGCUUCGGCGCAUCAUCGACCGAUCCUGAUGUUCUCGGAUGGAUUUGAGUAAGAGCAUACGGGGCCGGACCCGAAAGAAGGUGAACUAUGCCUGUAUAGGGUGAAGCCAGAGGAAACUCUGGUGGAGGCUCGCAGCGGUUCUGACGUGCAAAUCGAUCGUCAAUAUGGGCAUGGGGGCGAAGACUAAUCGAAACCUUCCUAGUAGCUGGGUUCGCGAG